GACGAACGCUGGCGGCGUGCUUAACACAUGCAAGUCGAACGAUGAAGCCGGAGCUUGCUCUGGUGAAUUAGUGGCGAACGGGUGAGUAACACGUGAGUAACCUGCCCUUGACUCUGGGAUAACUGCUAGAAAUGGUAGCUAAUACCGGAUACGACCCUCGGAGGCAUCUCCAGGGGGUGGAAAGAAUUUCGGUCAAGGACGGACUCGCGGCCUAUCAGCUAGUUGGUGAGGUAACGGCCCACCAAGGCGACGACGGGUAGCCGGCCUGAGAGGGUGGCCGGCCACACUGGGACUGAGACACGGCCCAGACUCCUACGGGAGGCAGCAGUGGGGAAUAUUGCACAAUGGGCGCAAGCCUGAUGCAGCAACGCCGCGUGAGGGAUGACGGCCUUCGGGUUGUAAACCUCUUUUAGUAGGGAAGAAGCGAAAGUGACGGUACCUGCAGAAAAAGCACCGGCUAACUACGUGCCAGCCGCCGCCGUAA
rnacentral:rRNA from 1 species